rnacentral:lncRNA from 1 species
CAUUAUUAUAGCCAGAAUGAAGAAAUUAAUUUGCAGUGGCUAAACCCAUCCUGUCCCGCAGCUUUUGUUGUUUUUAUUUUCACUCGGCCUCUGCCGACUUUUAACAUACCCCGUCCCGCAGCUUAUAUUUGUUUUUUUUGUGUGCGGGCGCUGCCUUUGCCUCUGCCGCGAGUCUGCAGUGUGUGGGUCUAGGAAAGGGCGGCGAGCUAACGGAGCGUGUUGGUGUGAAAAGUGUUGUAGAUGUAGAUGACAGAUAAAGACAAAAUUUAAAAUUUGACAAAACACCGCUAAGGUGCAGAUGUAGUACUAAGUGCCGGGUAUAAUGUCCCUUCUCGUUUUGAGCUGUAAUUAGCAUUUAAUGAGGCACUUUUCAAAGUCUUGACAACAUUAGCCGCAUAUAAAGAAAGGUAAAGAGAUUGCUCGACUUCACCUAAAAGUUGAUAUUAGAUAAAUUACAAUAUAACUGGACAAAAUGUAUAAAAAAGCGAAAUCCAUUUAGAAACAUACAAAUAAAUACGUUAAAUAUUAUUUUCGAGAAGGAUUUCAUGCCUUGAACUAUUUUUGACAGUCUGUCUUUGGCCAACAUUAAUAAGCUAGAUGAUUUCUCCACCGGUGCCGAUCCACGUACAUAUGUAUGUAUACUUAGUUUUCCGUGUGAAAAUCAUGGUUGGCCCUCAGCCCAGGCGCAAACGGCAUACGCUUGGCCUAGGACUAUAUGAGUAACGUCCAUAAACUUAAAUGGCAAUAUGCAAGCAAGAUUUUUUCGAACUAUCGAAAGCGUGGUAUAUACAUACAUAUGUAGGUAUAUAUGUACAUUAAUAUGCUUGUGUGUAUUUAUGUAACCUUAGUGUGAUGCCAAAAACUUUACAAUACCAAGAUAUGGCAUGAGCGACCAAAAAGCUGUUCGGUACGCCCUAUACACAGGGAGCGCGUGGAGUCUCUAUUGUCUUUUCGCCUAUGCUUCGUUUCUGACCAAGACCAGCUGUGCGAAAGGUACGUCGAUUGUGAAGGCAUUGACGGCAAGCAGAAGUCUCGACGGGCCUGAGUCGUACAGUGGAAAAUUUCAGCUUGCUUAAUUAAUGAGUGAGAGAAACGUGUUUUUUAAAUAUUCAAAGCGCCAAUAAAGCUAGUCGACUUUUACCAAUGUUAGGCUGAGUCCCCACUGUGUCGAGCCAAAGACUUCUGCGCUAAUUUUUGAAACAAAAUUAAUUCAGCGUGAUAUCACAUGAGUCGAUAUAUGUAGCUGUGUCUGUCGGUCCGUCCUGAUGAGAGCUUAGUACACAGAUAGGGCAACCUAAUUUGCAUCCAGACAGCUGUCCGCUGUGAUUGUGACGAGUGUGACAGUGAGUAAAAGGACGUGAUGUUCUAAGAUGUGAUGUAGUUGUCGAUGUAUAAGACGUAGAAAAUAUGUAAAAUUAGACAAAAUCAAAAGGUUACAUACAUAUGUAUCACACUAAGGUUACAUACAUGUGAAUGUAAAUACGCUUAUACUGACUGAGUACCGGGUAUAAAAGUUGUGACGCGUACGAAUCGUCUCACAAACGUUCCUACUCGUUUUUAUACCCGGUAAUUAAAGAGUAAAUUGGUUUUCGACCUCAUUAAGUAUACAUAUAUAUUCUUGAUCAGCGUCGUUAGCCGAGUCUAUGCCAGUCUGUCUUGUUUGUCGGCUUGUUCUCAUAAACUAUAGGAGCGAGAGCUACGGAAAACCCAUUUUUUUCUCUCGUCUCUAGUCUUAAAUAUAUACAUAUUUAUUUUCUUUAAAGAAUAAUUGUAAGAUUGUGUAUUUUAUAUCGUGUCAGUGAAAAUCAGUUUGUGCAAUUCCAACGAAUUUCAAGCGAUAAGCUGAAAGAGAAUGGGAAUAGGAACAAAGGCUGGCCGAAUGUAAAAGAUAACACCACCCGACACAAUUUUUCAUUAAGGAAUCAAACAUACGUUUUAUGAAAGAUAUGGGGCUUAGAAAUGGUGUGGUGACAAUUUUGUUUCCUACGGCAAA